rnacentral:rRNA from 1 species
GAUGAACGCUGGCGGCGUGCCUAAUACAUGCAAGUCGAGCGAACAGACGAGGAGCUUGCUCCUCUGACGUUAGCGGCGGACGGGUGAGUAACACGUGGAUAACCUACCUAUAAGACUGGGAUAACUUCGGGAAACCGGAUCUAAUACCGUAUAAUAUAUUGAACCGCAUGGUUCAAUAGUGAAAGACGGUUUUGCUGUCACUUAUAGAUGGAUCCGCGCCGCAUUAGCUAGUUGGUAAGGUAACGGCUUACCAAGGCGACGAUGCGUAGCCGACCUGAGAGGGUGAUCGGCCACACUGGAGCUGGGACACGGUCCAGACUCCUGAGGGAGGCAGCAGUAGGGAAUCUACCGCAAUGGGCGAAAGCCUGACGGAGCAACGCCGCGUGAGUGAUGAAGGUCUUCGGAUCGUAAAACUCUGUUAUUAGGGAAGAACAAAUGUGUAAGUAACUAUGCACGUCUUGACGGUAACUAAUCAGAAAGCCACGGCUAACUACGUG